rnacentral:rRNA from 1 species
CACACCGCCCGUCACACCAUGGGAGUUGGUUUCACCCGAAGGCGCUGCGCUAACCCGCAAGGGAGGCAGGCGACCACGGUGGGAUCAGCGACUGGGGUG